AUCACACACUGGCACAUCACACAGCUGUGCUCUACCAGAAGCCUACAAGGUGUAUGCCGUAUAUCACAUAGAGCAGUCCUCCUCCAUUGGUGACAGAUAAGCUACAAGUAGCCCGUUUGUGAGACCGGAGAAAAUAGCCAUCUAGUACUCUCCUAUGUACUUGAAGAUGAUUGGGUGGAGGGCGAUACAUAGAUACAGACAUCUCUAUGUAUAUGUAUUGUUUCUCUCCUGCAUCUCACGGUCAGCAUUUCACCAAUGCAACACUCUGCUAAAGGGCGUCUGUCAGUAUGUGGCAGCCCUGGGCUGGGAGCUACCUCCCCCGUGCACACCUAGCAGCAGCAGCAGCAGCGAUGUGACACCUGUUACCGCACACACAGCCCAGGCCCUCUCCGGAUAUCUUCAAACGGAUUCCAGUAUACAGAGAAUGCCAGGGCUGAUUCUUGGACCCAGUCUGUCCCUGGCAGAAGCAAUGGGACCCAGGUGGAAAUGGCAUGUGGACAAAGCAAUCAAGGGAGCAAGCAAAGGGAGCAAUCAAGAAGGGGUAGAUUAGUCAUAAUUGAAGAAUGGGAGUAAAGGUGCCAUGCUGGCAUUUGUUUAUCUCCUAGUUAAAAGCAUGUGGGACAGGCUUGCUGGAACCAGUUGUCUGCCACAAUCCCUGAAGGUGCUCCAUGUAGUCUUAAGAUUUGACAAAUGAACAACUGCGCAAGAAUGGGUGCUGAGGGUAAACCCGAUUGAAGAAUAAAAUUAGCCAUUUUCGAGAAAUGGUCUACAACUACCUAAAUUGUA